rnacentral:rRNA from 1 species
AGUGAACGCUGGCGGUAGGCCUAACACAUGCAAGUCGAACGGCAGCACAGUAAGAGCUUGCUCUUACGGGUGGCGAGUGGCGGACGGGUGAGGAAUACAUCGGAAUCUACUUUUUCGUGGGGGAUAACGUAGGGAAACUUACGCUAAUACCGCAUACGACCUACGGGUGAAAGCAGGGGAUCUUCGGACCUUGCGCGAUUGAAUGAGCCGAUGUCGGAUUAGCUAGUUGGCGGGGUAAAGGCCCACCAAGGCGACGAUCCGUAGCUGGUCUGAGAGGAUGAUCAGCCACACUGGAAAAGAGACACGGUCCAGACUCCUAGGGGAGGCAGCAGAGGGGAAUAUUGGACAAUGGGCGCAAGCAUGAUACAGCCAUACCGCGUGGGUGAAGAAGGCGUUCGGGUUGUAAAGACCUUUUGUUGGGAAAGAAAAGCAGCAGGUUAAUACCCCGCGGUUCUGACGGUACCCAAAGAAUAAGCACCGGCUAACUUCGUG